UACGUAGGGACCAAGCGUUGUUCGGAUUUACUGGGCGUAAAGGGCGCGUAGGCGGCAAUUCAAGUCAGUUGUGAAAUCUCCGAGCUUAACUCGGAACGGUCAACUGAUACUGUUUUGCUAGAGUACAGAAGGGGCAAUCGGAAUUCUUGGUGUAGCGGUGAAAUGCGUAGAUAUCAAGAGGAACACCUGAGGUGAAGACGGGUUGCUGGGCUGAUACUGACGCUGGAGGCGCGAAAGCUAGGGGAGCGAACGGG
rnacentral:rRNA from 1 species